GACGAACGCUGGCGGCGUGCCUAAUACAUGCAAGUCGAGCGGAACUGGGGGAGCUUGCUCCUUCCAGUUUAGCGGCGGACGGGUGAGUGACACGUGGGCAACCUGCCCUGCAGAUCGGGAUAACUCCGGGAAACCGGUGCUAAUACCGAAUAGUUUGGCGCCUCUCCUGAGGCGCUACGGAAAGACGGUUUCGGCCGUCACUGCAGGGUGGGCCCGCGGGGCAUUAGCUAGUUGGUGGGGUAACGGCCCACCAAGGCGACGAUGCGUAGCCGACCUGAGAGGGUGACCGGCCACACUGGGACUGAGACACGGCCCAGACUCCUACGGGAGGCAGCAGUAGGGAAUCUUCCGCAAUGGACGCAAGUCUGACGGAGCAACGCCGCGUGAGUGACGAAGGUUUUCGGAUCGUAAAACUCUGUUGUGAGGGAAGAACACGUACCAACUCACUAUUGGUACCUUGACGGUACCUCACCAGAAAGCCACGGCUAACUACGUGCCAGCCGCCGCAGUAA
rnacentral:rRNA from 1 species